UCCCUGGUGGUCCAGUGGUUAAGACUCUGUGCUUCCAAUACAGGAGGCACAGGUUCAAUACCUGGUUGAGGGA
rnacentral:tRNA from 1 species